GACGAACCGUACGAACGUUGUUCGGAUUCACUGGGCUUAAAGGGCGCGUAGGCGGGCGGUCAAGUCGGGGGUGAAAUCUUUCAGCUUAACUGGAAAAGUGCCUCCGAUACUGAUCGCCUCGAGGGAGGUAGGGGCAUGUGGAACUUCCGGUGGAGCGGUGAAAUGCGUAGAUAUCGGAAGGAACGCCGGUGGCGAAAGCGACGUGCUGGACCUCUUCUGACGCUGAGGCGCGAAAGCUAGGGGAGCAAACGGG
rnacentral:rRNA from 1 species